UGUGUGUUAGUGGAAGCGUCUGGAAAGGCGCGCGAUACAGGGUGACAGCCCCGUACACAAAAAUGCACAUACUGUGAGCUCGAUGAGUAGGGCGGGACACGUGGUAUCCUGUCUGAAUAUGGGGGGACCAUCCUCCAAGGCUAAAUACUCCUGACUGACCGAUAGUGAACCAGUACCGUGAGGGAAAGGCGAAAAGAACCCCGGCGAGGGGAGUGAAAAAGAACCUGAAACCGUGUACGUACAAGCAGUGGGAGCCUCUUUUAUGGGGUGACUGCGUACCUUUUGUAUAAUGGGUCAGCGACUUAUAUUCUGUAGCAAGGUUAACCGAAUAGGGGAGCCGAAGGGAAACCGAGUCUUAACUGGGCGUUAAGUUGCAGGGUAUAGACCCGAAACCCGGUGAUCUAGCCAUGGGCAGGUUGAAGGUUGGGUAACACUAACUGGAGGACCGAACCGACUAAUGUUGAAAAAUUAGCGGAUGACUUGUGGCUGGGGGUGAAAGGCCAAUCAAACCGGGAGAUAGCUGGUUCUCCCCGAAAGCUAUUUAGGUAGCGCCUCGUGAAUUCAUCUCCGGGGGUAGAGCACUGUUUCGGCAAGGGGGUCAUCCCGACUUACCAACCCGAUGCAAACUGCGAAUACCGGAGAAUGUUAUCACGGGAGACACACGGCGGGUGCUAACGUCCGUCGUGAAGAGGGAAACAACCCAGACCGCCAGCUAAGGUCCCAAAGUCAUGGUUAAGUGGGAAACGAUGUGGGAAGGCCCAGACAGCCAGGAUGUUGGCUUAGAAGCAGCCAUCAUUUAAAGAAAGCGUAAUAGCUCACUGGUCGAGUCGGCCUGCGCGGAAGAUGUAACGGGGCUAAACCAUGCACCGAAGCUGCGGCAGCGACACUAUGUGUUGUUGGGUAGGGGAGCGUUCUGUAAGCCUGUGAAGGUGUGCUGUGAGGCAUGCUGGAGGUAUCAGAAGUGCGAAUGCUGACAUAAGUAACGAUAAAGCGGGUGAAAAGCCCGCUCGCCGGAAGACCAAGGGUUCCUGUCCAACGUUAAUCGGGGCAGGGUGAGUCGACCCCUAAGGCGAGGCCGAAAGGCGUAGUCGAUGGGAAACAGGUUAAUAUUCCUGUACUUGGUGUUACUGCGA
rnacentral:rRNA from 1 species